GCUAAGAAUAUUCCGCAAUGGACGAAAGUCUGACGGAGCGACGCCGCGUGGAUGACGAAGGCCGAAAGGUUGUAAAGUCCUUUUGUCGAUGAAGAAUAAGUGCGGUAGGGAAUGACCGUAUGAUGACGUUAGUCGGCGAAUAAGCCCCGGCUAAUUACGUGCCAGCAGCCGCGGUAACACGUAAGGGGCAAGCGUUGUUCGGAAUUAUUGGGCGUAAAGGGUACGUAGGCGGUUAUGUAAGCCCGGCGUGAAAUCCUGCAGCUUAACUGUAGAGCUGCGCUGGGAACUACAAAACUCGAGUCAUGGAAGGGAAGUUAGAAUUCCAGGUGUAGGGGUGAAAUCUGUAGAUAUCUGGAAGAAUACCGGUGGCGAAGGCGAACUUCUGGCCAAUGACUGACGCUGAGGUACGAAAGUGCGGGGAGCAAACAGGAUUAGAUACCCGAGUAGUCC
rnacentral:rRNA from 1 species